ACGGAGGAUCCAAGCGUUAUCCGGAAUCAUUGGGUUUAAAGGGUCCGUAGGCGGUCUUAUAAGUCAGUGGUGAAAUCUCCUAGCUCAACUAGGAAACUGCCAUUGAUACUGUAAGACUUGAAUUUUUGUGAAGUAACUAGAAUAUGUAGUGUAGCGGUGAAAUGCUUAGAUAUUACAUGGAAUACCAAUUGCGAAGGCAGGUUACUAACAAACGAUUGACGCUGAUGGACGAAAGCGUGGGGAGCGAACAGG
rnacentral:rRNA from 1 species